GGUCAAGUUAUUAAGGGUGCAGGGCGGAUGCCUUGGCACUAGGAGCCGAUGAAGGACGUGAUAAGCUGCGAUAAGCUUCGGGGAGUUGCACGUAAACUUUGAUCCGAAGAUUUCCGAAUGAGGAAACUCACUUAGAGUAAUGUCUAAGUAUCAUUAAGUGAAUACAUAGCUUAAUGAGGGGAACUCAGGGAACUGAAACAUCUAAGUACCUGAAGGAAGAGAAAGAAAUUCGAUUCCGUAAGUAGCGGCGAGCGAACGCGGAUUAGCCCAAACCAAUAAAGUUUUCUUUAUUGGGGUUGCGGACAUAUCAUAACGAAGAGGUAUCGUAAUUGAAGAGGUUUGGAAAGACCCACCACAGAAGGUAAUAGUCCUGUAUGUUAAACGAGAAGACUUUAGAUAUGAUCCAGAGUA
rnacentral:rRNA from 1 species